GGGGCUGUAGCUCAGAUGGGAGAGCGCGUCGUUCGCAAUGACGAGGUCAGGGGUUCGAUUCCCCUCAGCUCCA
rfam:Nitratireductor aquibiodomus RA22 Contig71, whole genome shotgun sequence.